AUCUUAGAGAGAAAUGUAUACAUAAUGUAGUUGAAAUGUGCUUAAUGAAGUCUUUUGAUGUUGUCACGUCCAGACUUUCUAUUUAUACAAAAUAUAUUGACAAUCGGUGUGAGACUCAUUGAUCAAACAUUAAAUGUCUUUAAACACGGGCAUUGUCAAUAUUAAAUGUACUUUCACUUGCAUGUAGACCAGACGGUAUUCUCUUCACCGUAUGCGUAGGCGGAGGUGUGCGGCCAACCAUAAGGAGACUCUCAUUCUGUCGGGCCAAAUAUUGGACUUAGGUCAUUGGGCCUCGUUAUCCUGGGGAACGGACACGCCAUUUUGCGACCGAACGGCCAUUAAAGGUGGUUGAGUGAGGUGGCAUAAUAAAAUUUAAAUCAUUGGAUAGGUCAAACUCUCAACUCACUUUUAAAGGCUUAGAUUUUUCCUAAAAAUUGUAU
rnacentral:lncRNA from 1 species